CCUACGGGUGGCAGCAGUGGGGAAUAUUGCACAAUGGGGGGAACCCUGAUGCAGCGACGCAGCGUGAGUGAAGAAGUAUUUCGGUAUGGAAAGCUCUAUCAGCAGGGAAGAAGAUGACGGUACCUGACUAAGAAGCCCCGGCUAACUACGGGACAGCAGCAGCGGUAAUACGUAGGGGGCAAGCGUUAUCCGGAUUUACUGGGUGUAAAGGGAGCGUAGACGGCAGGGCAAGUCUGGAGUGAAAGCCCGGGGCCCAACCCCGGGACUGCUUUGGAAACUGCCAUGCUAGAGUGCUGGAGAGGUAAGCGGAAUUCCUAGUGUAGCGGUGAAAUGCGUAGAUAUUAGGAGGAACACCAGUGGCGAAGGCGGCUUACUGGACAGUAACUGACGUUGAGGCUCGAAAGCGUGGGGAGCAAACAGGAUUAGAUACCCUUGUAGUC
rnacentral:rRNA from 1 species